GACGAACCGUCCAAACGUUAUUCGGAAUUACUGGGCUUAAAGGGUGCGUAGGCGGCGCGGAAAGUUGGGUGUGAAAUCCCUCGGCUUAACCGGGGAACUGCGUCUGAUACUGGAUGGCUUGAGAUUGGGAGAGGGAUGCGGAAUUCCAGGUGUAGCGGUGAAAUGCGUAGAUAUCUGGAGGAACACCGGUGGCGAAGGCGGCAUCCUGGACCAACACUGACGCUGAUGAGCGAAAGCCAGGGGAGCAAACGGG
rnacentral:rRNA from 1 species